UGGGGAAUAUUGCGCAAUGGGCGAAAGCCUGACGCAGCGACGCCGCGUGAGGGAUGAAGGUUUUCGGAUCGUAAACCUCUGUCAGAAGGGAAGAAACCGCAUCGUGCUAAUCAGCGGUGCAUUGACGGUACCUCCAAAGGAAGCACCGGCUAACUCCGUGCCAGCAGCGGCGGUAAUACGGUGGGUGCAAGCGUUAAUCGGAAUUACUGGUCGUAAAGCGCACGUAGGCUGCUUGGUAAGUCAGGGGUGAAAUCCCACGGCUCAACCGUGGAACUGCCUUUGAUACUGCUUAGCUUGAAUCCGGGAGAGGGUGGCGGAAUUCCAGGUGUAGGAGUGAAAUCCGUAGAUAUCUGGAGGAACAUCAGUGGCGAAGGCGGCCACCUGGACCGGUAUUGACGCUGAGGUGCGAAAGCGUGGGGAGCAAACAGGAUU
rnacentral:rRNA from 1 species